rnacentral:snoRNA from 1 species
CCAACUGGGUACCUCCAGGAGGUCACUCCCAGGGGCUCUGUCCAAGUGGUGUAGGGGAACAUAGGGCUCUGCCCCAUGAUGUACAGUCCCUUUCCACAACGUUGGAGAUAAAGCUGAGCCUUGAGUCUGCGCCUGCAUAUUCCUACAGCUUCUCAGAGUCCUGUGGACAAUGACUGAAGAGACAAACCAUGCGGGAAACACCU